rnacentral:rRNA from 1 species
GACGAACGCUGGCGGCGUGCCUAAUACAUGCAAGUUGAGCGAUGAAGCUUGGUGCUUGCACCAAUUUGAAGAGCAGCGAACGGGUGAGUAACGCGUGGGGAAUCUGCCUUUGAGCGGGGGACAACAUUUGGAAACGAAUGCUAAUACCGCAUAACAACUUUAAACAUAAGUUUUAAGUUUGAAAGAUGCAAUUGCAUCACUCAAAGAUGAUCCCGCGUUGUAUUAGCUAGUUGGUGAGGUAAAGGCUCACCAAGGCGAUGAUACAUAGCCGACCUGAGAGGGUGAUCGGCCACAUUGGGACUGAGACACGGCCCAAACUCCUACGGGAGGCAGCAGUAGGGAAUCUUCGGCAAUGGACGAAAGUCUGACCGAGCAACGCCGCGUGAGUGAAGAAGGUUGUCGGAUCGUAAAACUCUGUUGGUAGAGAAGAACGUUGGUGAGAGUGGAAAGCUCACCAAGUGACGGUAACUACCCAGAAAGGGACGGCUAACUACGUG